UACGUAGGGUGCAAGCGUUGUCCGGAAUUAUUGGGCGUAAAGGGCGCGUAGGCGGCUUUGCAAGUGACGGGUGAAAUCCCUCGGCUUAACCGAGGAACUGCCUGUCAGACUGCAUGGCUUGAGACCAGGAGAGGUGAGUGGAAUUCCCAGUGUAGCGGUGAAAAUGCGUAGAUAUUGGGAGGAACACCAGUGGCGAAGGCGGCUCACUGGACUGGUACUGACGCUGAGGCGCGAAAAGCGUGGGGAGCAAACAGG
rnacentral:rRNA from 1 species